rnacentral:misc_RNA from 1 species
GAUGAAGAACGCAGCGAAAUGCGAUACUUGGUGUGAAUUGCAGAAUCCCGUGAACCAUCGAGUCUUUGAACGCAAGUUGCGCCCGAAGCCACUAGGCCGAGGGCACGCCUGCCUGGGCGUCACACGUCGUUGCCCCCCACCAUCUACUCCUUCGGGAUUGCGGGGGGCGGAUGAUGGCCUCCCGUGCGCCUAGCCGCGCGGUUGGCAUAAAUACUAAGUCCUCGGCGACGCACGCCACGACAAUCGGUGGUUGCGAAACCUCGGUUGCCCGUCGUGUGCGUUCGUCGCGCAUCGAGGGCUCGAAAAAAUGCUCGGCUCCGGCUCGGCUUUCAACGCGACCCCAGGUCAGGCGGGGUUACCCGCUGAAUUUAAGCAUAUCAAUAAGCGGAGGA